rnacentral:misc_RNA from 1 species
GAUGAAGAACGUAGCGAAAUGCGAUACGUAAUGUGAAUUACAAAUUCAGUGAAUCAUCGAGUCUUUGAACGCACAUUGCGCCCCCUGGUAUUCCGGGGGGCAUGCCUGUCCGAGCGUCAUUGCUGCCCUCAAGCACGGCUUGUGUGUUGGGCCCCGUCCUCCGAUCCCGGGGGACGGGCCCGAAAGGCAGCGGCGGCACCGCGUCCGGUCCUCGAGCGUAUGGGGCUUUGUCACCCGCUCUGUAGGCCCGGCCGGCGCUUGCCGAUCAACCCAAAUUUUUAUCCAGGUUGACCUCGGAUCAGGUAGGGAUACCCGCUGAACUUAAGCAUAUCAAUAAGCGGAGGA